UACGUAGGGUGCGAGCGUUGUCCGGAUUUAUUGGGCGUAAAGGGCUCGUAGGCGGCCUGUCGCGUCGGGGAGUGAAAGCCCACUGCUUAACGGUGGGUCUGCUUCCGGUACGGGCGGGCUGGAGUAUGGCAGGGGAGACUGGAAUUCCUGGUGUAGCGGUGGAAUGCGCAGAUAUCAGGAGGAACACCGGUGGCGAAGGCGGGUCUCUGGGCCAUUACUGACGUGAGGAGCGAAAAGCGUGGGGGAGCGAACAGG
rnacentral:rRNA from 1 species